GCCUUUGUAGUUUAGUGGUCAUAAUUUUUCACUUGUAUGCUUACGUAAUACAUGAUGAAAGGGUCCUGUGUUCGACUCACAGCGGAGGCACAA